UAUGAAGAACGCAGCGAAAUGCGAUAAGUAAUGUGAAUUGCAGAAUUCAGUGAAUCAUCGAAUCUUUGAACGCACAUUGCGCCCGCCAGUAUUCUGGCGGGCAUGCCUGUCUGAGCGUCAUUUCAACCCUCAUGCCCCUAGGGCGUGGUGUUGGGGAUCGGCCAAAGCCCGCGAGGGACGGCCGGCCCCUAAAUCUAGUGGCGGACCCGUCGUGGCCUCCUCUGCGAAGUAGUGAUAUUCCGCAUCGGAGAGCGACGAGCCCCUGCCGUUAAACCCCCAACUUUCCAAGGUUGACCUCAGAUCAGGUAGGAAUACCCGCUGAACUUAAGCAUAUCAAUAAGCGGAGGGA
rnacentral:misc_RNA from 1 species